ACUGAACGCUGGCGGCAGGCUUAACACAUGCAAGUCGAGCGGGGGAAGGUAGCUUGCUACCGGACCUAGCGGCGGACGGGUGAGUAAUGCUUAGGAAUCUGCCUAUUAGUGGGGGACAACAUCUCGAAAGGGAUGCUAAUACCGCAUACGUCCUAUGGGAGAAAGCAGGGGAUCUUCGGACCUUGCGCUAAUAGAUGAGCCUAAGUCGGAUUAGCUAGUUGGUGGGGUAAAGGCCGACCAAGGCGACGAUCUGUUGCGGGUCUGAGAGGAUGAUCCGCCACACUGGGACUGAGACACGGCCCAGACUCCUACGGGAGGCAGCAGUGGGGAAUAUUGGACAAUGGGGGGAACCCUGAUCCAGCCAUGCCGCGUGUGUGAAGAAGGCCUUAUGGUUGUAAAGCACUUUAAGCGAGGAGGAGGCUACUUUAGUUAAUACCUAGAGAUAGUGGACGUUACUCGCAGAAUAAGCACCGGCUAACUCUGUGCCAGCAGCCGCGGUAA
rnacentral:rRNA from 1 species